rnacentral:lncRNA from 1 species
UGUGUGUGUGUGUGUGUGUGUGUGUGUGUGUGUGUGUGUGUGCGUGUGUGUGCGUGUGCGUGUGUGUGGAAACCAGAAGCAACCAGCAGUCUGAGUCAAUGAUUGACAACGGGUACCUCCCGCUCUCUCAUCUCAUCUCAUCUUACCUCCACCUCCUCCCCCCUUCAUCUCCUCUCCUACCAUCCUCUCCUCCUCUUCCUCUCUUCCCCUUUCUAUCUUCCCCUUCCUCUCCUCUCCUCCCUGUCUCUCUCACCUCCCCCUCCUCUCCUUCCUCUCCUCCCUCUCCCCUUUCCCCUCAUUCUCACCCCUUCUUCAUUCUCAACCCUUCCUCUUCCAACCAGGCUCAUUUGCAUAGGAUGCCUGAUUUGCAUACAUAUGAGGGAAAGAGAAAAGGGGACUUGAAGAGAGGAGGGGAGAGGAGAUGAGGAGAAGAGAGAAGAGGAGAUAUGCAGACGUUUACUGAUGAAAAGGAAGAGAAGGCCCUUUCACAGCUUCUCUCUCUCCCCCUCCCCCGCUCUAUCUUUCUUUCUCUCUCUCUGCUCUCUCUUUCUCUCUGUUCUCUCCCUUUGGUUCACACCUCAGAGAGAUCCUGUGAAGGCCCUAUUAACAUCUACUCUUCCUCACUCUGAAAGGAAAGAAAAGAGGAGGUGAUGAGAGAGGAGACAGAGAGAGGACAGAGAAGGGAAGAGACAGAACAGAGGAGAGAGGAGAGAGGACAGAGGAGAGAGGACAGAGGAGAGGAACAGAGGAGGUGAGGAGAGAGGACAGAGGACAGAGGACAGAGGAGGUGAGGAGAGAGGACAGAGGAGAGAGGACAGAGGAGAGAGAACAGAGAGGAGAGAGGACAGAGAAGAGAGGACAGAGGAGAGAGAACAGAGGUGAGGAGAGAGGACAGAGGAGAGAGAACAGAGGUGAGGAGAGUAGACAGAGGAGAUAGGACAGAGGAGGGUCGGGGGAGAACAGAGGACAGAGGAGAGAUGACAGAGGAGAGAGAACAGAGGACAGAGGAGAGAGGAUAGAGGAGAGAGAACAGAGGAGAGAGGACAGAGGAGAGAGGGCAGAGAGAGGAGAGAGGAUGGAGGAGAGAGGACAGAGAGAGAGAACAGAGGAGAGAGGACAGAGGAGAGAGGACAGAGGAGAGAGAACAGAGGAGAGAGGAGAGAGGACAGAGGGGAGAGGACAGAGGAGAGAGAACAGAGGAGGUGAGGAGAGAGGACAGAGGAGAGAGGACAGAGGAGAGAGAACAGAGGAGAGAGGACAGAGAACAGAGGAGGUGAGGAGAGAGGACAGAGGAGAGAGGACAGAGGAGAGAACAGAGGAGAGAGGAGAGAGGACAGAGGAGAGAGAACAGAGGAGGUGAGGAGAGAGGACAGAGGAGAGAGGACAGAGGAGAGAGGACAGAGGAGAGAGAACAGAGGAGAGAGGACAGAGGAGAGAGGAGAGAGGUCAGAGGAGAGAGGACAGUGUUGUUGCUAUGGCAGUGUUGUUGCCAUGGUGUUGUUGUUGCCAUGGCUGCAUUGUUGCCAUGGCAUUGUUGCCAUGUUGGUGUUGUUGCUGUGGCAGUAUUGUUGCCAUUGCGUUGUUGUUGCCAUGGCUGAAUUGCACUCCACUGCAACCCCUCAGUUGAAAGUCAUUGAUUGGCUGUGAAGCCUUCAUUCUCCCCUGCAGGGCGGCCGGGCUACAGCUCUACUCUACUCUAUUCUACUCUAUUCUGCUCUACACUGUUCUACUCUACACUACACCUCCAGGAGGUACAGAGCACCCCUACGCCCCACACACACACAUGCUAGAGACAUACACACACAAACCUACAUGCAUAUUAACACCCUCAGAGGUUGGGAUACUGUGGAAGAGAGAUAUCUUUGAAAGCAGGGAUUGAGAGAUAGAAAUAGAGGGAGGAGAAGAGAAGAAAGGAGAGAUUGAGAGAGAAAUAGAGGGAGGAGAAGAGAAGAAAGGCGAGAUUGAGAGAUAGAAAUAGAGGGAGGAGAAGAGAAGAAAGGAGAGAUUGAGAGAGAAAUAGAGGGAGGAGAAGAGAAGAAAGGAGAGAUUGAGAGAGAAAUAGAGGGAGGAGAAGAGAAGAAAGGAGAGAUUGAGAGAUAGAAAUAGAGGGAGGAGAAGAGAAGAAAGGAGAGAUUGAGAGAUAGAAAUAGAGGGAGGAGAAGAGAAGAAAGGAGAGAUUGAGAGAUAGAAAUAGAGGGAGGAGAAGAGAAGAAAGGAGAGAUUGAGAGAUAGAAAUAGAGGGAGGAGAAAAGAAGAAAGGAGAGAUGGAUGUGGCCCUUCCUCUCUCUGUCCAUUUGUCUUUGAUCUCUCAGUCCAUCUGAAAGGGUCCUGCACCACACUGGGAAUAACAACCUCUACCCUCCCACCGCUGGACACACACACACACACA